rnacentral:rRNA from 1 species
CGUGAAAUUGUUGAAAGGGAAGCGCUUGCAACCAGACUUGCGCGCGGCGGUUCCCCCUUCCGUUUGGUUGGGUUAUUCCGUCGUGUCCAGGCCAACAUCGGUUCUGGGGGUCGGUUAAAGGCUCAGGGAAUGUAUCUACCCUCCGGGCGUAGACUUAUAGCCCCGAGUGUCAUGCGGCCUCCCGGGACCGAGGAACGCGCUCCGGCUCGGAUGUUGGCGUAAUGGUUGUCAGCGACCCGUCUUGAAACACG